AUAUAUAUAUAUAUAUGUAUAUAUAUAUAUGUAUAUAUAUAUAUGUGUGUGUGUGUGUGUGUUAGAUACAUUAAUUAUACAGUUUUAUACACUUUUUAAGCUACUAAAUGUAAAUAGCUUCUGGUAAGGACUAAAAGUGAUAAUAUCCCAUAUUUUUUCCCUUGAGCAAAGUUUCACAUGACCUAUCACAUUUUAUAUGCGUCUUCAAAGCUACGAGUAAAGGACGUACACCAGCUUGUAGACAAGCAAAAGCAAUAAGUCAGACCCCACACUACACUCCACCAUUUGUAUACUCGUCCCACCAAAUUAAUUUCUUUGAUAUUAAUUGUUGAGUUAAAAUACCCCAAAGCUACUCCUAUUAUUGUGUGAUAUUGUUCAUUUUGGGCUAAAUCCGUACGAUUUUUUCUAAAAACAUCAUAGACUAUUCAAAAUAUCAAAUUCCUUCUUUCUACUUUUCAUGUGUGACUUUAUGUACAUCACACCCAAGGGCAAAUUUUUAAGAUAAAUUAUGAUACACAUGAAUUUAUGGUCUUUCCGCUAUAUUAGGCAUAAAUGUAUGUAUUUUUUAGAAUUAAUCUAAUGUUAUGCUCUAUAAAGACUGAAUGAUGUAUUUGGUUAAAUAUUGGAAUUUUUUACGUUGAAGAACAGGGUUCAAGGGUUCAAUUAUCACUUAAUACAUGUUUUUCUAUUUUUGCUGGAGCACCCAUCUUUUAAAAUUUUUAGAUCUGCCUUGCACACAACCAAGAUUGUCCUUGUUGAUUUUUCUUAUGGAAAAAGUAGGUGAAAAUUCUUUUGUAAUUAGAUGGCCGUGGUAAGUUCAACAAGGACAUUUUUUUUCCAAGGAAAAUGUCCAUGUUAAUUUUCUAAUGGACCACGUAAAAAUUGUUUUUGAUAAUGAGAUGGCGGUGGACAUUGACAGAUAACCUAAUAGAAAUAUUAAUUAGCGGGAUAUCUCACGUUAAAAUUAAUUGAAAUAAACUAUUUUAGGAUGUCUUAACAUAAAACCAUAAUUCAAAUGGUUGUGCAGCUUUGAACUUCUGAAGUUGUCAUUUGACAAAAUUUAGCUGACGAAAUAAACUGUUAACUUUAACUUUAGUCACAUUUGCUGCUUUCAAGACUGUCAAUAUAUAUAUAUGUAUUCUCACACCAAAAUCAUCCGAUCCUUCAAAUCAACUGAUAACUUCUCUGCAAAGAAUUAUGUACCGCUAUUUGGUCAAUAUUUCUAGAUCCAUUAUUGCGUAAUACGGGCCCUUUCUCUGAUAUUUUUACCACCCCCUAAAAGUCAUCCUAUGAUAAUCUGGAAAGAUUAAUUAGUGGUGGUAUUGGGAAUAUUUCCUUUAUAGGUUAGAGUGAUAGUUUCAUACCCAUUCUUUUUAAUGCAUGUCGUAAUUACCAAAAAAAAAAGAUAAUUUCAUACCCCACCAAAUAACUUGACAAGUAUACACAAAAUUUCUAUGCACUAGGCAUUUCUCUGAACCAAUUUUGCUUCAAGAAAACAAAGAUCAUUGAAUAAAUUGUAAUUACACAUAAUUAAUUGCAAGCAUUGUGUUAUAUUGCAGGACCUUGAUUUCGUCAAGUUCCAAUGUAACCCUAAGGAAGAUUUUCUUUUAGAAAGUUUGAUAGACUUAGAGGGUGUUUGGAUUGAUUUAUUUUGCGACUUUUGGCUUUUAAUCAUUUUUUAGUUUAUGUGGUGUUUGACGAUGAUAAAAAGUGUUUUAAAGCAUUACUUUUAAACAUAAAAGUACAAAAAUAAGUCGAAGGCCAAGAGUUGGGUAUUACCAUCUUAUGACUUUUGGCUUUUAGCUUAGAAGCUAUUCCCCCGUUUCAGAUUAGAUGAGAUACUUUCCUUUUUAGUCUGUUCCAAAACAAAUAAUAUAUUUCUAAAUUUGAAAAUAAUUCAACUUUAAACUCUUCAUUUACCCAUUUACCCUUAACGAGAAGUUUUUAUAGUUACACAAAUAUCAUGACCCCAAAAAUUUUUUACCGCUUAAACUCUUAAGAUCACAAGUUUCAAAAGUCUUAUUCUUUUUUUUUAAACUCCGUGGCCAGUCAAAACUAACUCAUCCAAUAUGAAACAGAGAGAGUACUUUUUAUGAGCCAAUCCAAACAACCUCUUAGUAUUUCAAGAUUCAGGUAAUUAAAUCAAAGAUUUAGCAUAAUCCAAGAUUUACAAAGAAAUCAAAGAGGUGAAUAAAUUAACCAGGCCAAUGACAAUGCAACUUGCAGUUUCUCUGAAGGGCAUCAAGGAAUCACAUUGUCUGCCAAUUACAUCAAACGUACACCUCUCAGUGAAGUGACAGCACUAGCAAUCAAUUUAAUAGAUACAUAUAUAUAAACUUCAUCAAUAAAAACAUUUUAAAAGGCUAUCAAAGUAAUAUAUACAUGUAUAAUUCACCGGUAAAAACACUUUUAAAAAGGCUUAAUUCAAUUUGCAUGAGCUCAGUGCAUAUGAAAACCCUCAACGAAAGAAGUAUCUGUAAACAGAAUACUUCGUGUAUAAAACAAACAUUUCAAUCUCAGGCAGUAAAGUUGCAAAAGUUGGAAAGCUAAAAAGUAAAUUAAACAAGAAAAAGCAGAUCCACGAGAAAAUGCACAAUCUCCCAAAUGAAAGAGUUACGUUUUACCUCUUAGUAGACCCAUCCAGCAAGAAUCUGUAUUAGGUCUUAAUUUGAACACUGAAUGAGUAAAGCAAAAGAAAAUAUUUACUCGUAAAUAAGUUUAUCAACUUUAGAUCAACCAUAUAUGCUAGCUGAUUAUAUAUGGAAAAUGAUCAGCAGAUUUUGAAAAUAGGAGGCUAUAUAUAUAUAUAUAUAUAUAUUAUUUGUGAAAGAGAGGAGUGAUGAUUUAGAAGCUUGAAUUGCUUAUU
rnacentral:lncRNA from 1 species